rnacentral:rRNA from 1 species
CCUACGGGUGGCAGCAGUAGGGAAUUUUGGGCAAUGGACGCAACUCUGACCCAGCAACGCCGCGUGAAGGAAGAAGGCUUUAGGGUUGUAAAAUUUUGCUGUAGAGGCAGAACAGAAUGACGGUACUUUACAAGACAGCCCCGGCUAACUAUGUGCCAGCAGCCGCGGUAAGACGUAGGGGGCAAGCGUUGUUCGGCAUUACUGGGCGGAAAGGGAGCGUAGGCGGGAGAUUAAGUUAAGUGUGAACGCCUUGGGCUCAACCCCAGAAAUGUGCUUAAUACUGGUUUGCUAGAGUGUGGGAGAGGUAAGUGGAAUUCCUGGUGUAGCGGUAGAAUGCUUAGAGAUUAGGAGGAACAUCAGAGGCGAAGGCGGCUUACUGGACCAUAACUGACGCUGAGGCUCGAAAGCGAGGGGAGCAAACAGGAUUAGAUACCCGGGUAGUC